rnacentral:rRNA from 1 species
GCGGGUGGGUGGCUGGAAGGAGGGUGAAGUCGUGGGGGGGGAGCGUUGUGCGGGUGUAUUGGGCGUAGAGUGCGCUGAGGCGGCGGCUGCAGUCGGAGGUGAAAACCCGGGGCGCAACCCCGGGCCUGCAGUGUAUAGUGGGUGGCUAGAUGCAUGCAGGGGUGAGUUGAAUUCCUGGUGUAGCGGUGAAAUGCGCAGAUAUCAGGAGGAACACCGAUUGCGAAGGCAGCUCGCUGGGACGUUACUGACGCUGAGACGCGAAAGCGUGGGGAGCAAACAGGAUUAGAUACCCCGUUAGUC